UCCCCAGUGGUCCAGUGGUUAGGAUUUGGCACUUUUGCUGCCAUGGCCCUGGUUCAAUGCCUGGUUGGGGAA